rnacentral:rRNA from 1 species
UACAGGGGGGGCAAGCGUUGUUCGGAAUUACUGGGCGUAAAGGGCUCGUAGGCGGCCAACUAAGUCCGACGUGAAAUCCCAAAGCUUAACUUUGGAACUGCGUCGGAUACUGGAUGGCUUGAAUUCGGGAGAGGGAUGACAGAAUUCCAGGUGUAGCGGUGAAAUGCGUAGAUAUCUGGAGGAAUACCGGUGGCGAAGGCGGCAUCCUGGACCGACAUUGACGCUGAGGAGCGAAAGCUAGGGGAGCAAACGGG